rnacentral:rRNA from 1 species
GAUGAACGCUGGCGGCGUGCCUAAUACAUGCAAGUCGAGCGAACAGACGAGGAGCUUGCUCCUCUGACGUUAGCGGCGGACGGGUGAGUAACACGUGGAUAACCUACCUAUGAGACUGGGAUAACUUCGGGAAACCGGAGCUAAUACCGGAUAAUAUAUUGAACCGCAUGGUUCAAUAGUGAAAGACGGUUUUGCUGUCACUUAUAGAUGGAUCCGCGCCGCAUUAGCUAGUUGGUAAGGUAACGGCUUACCAAGGCGACGAUGCGUAGCCGACCUGAGAGGGUGAUCGGCCACACUGGAACUGAGACACGGUCCAGCCUCCUACGGGAGGCAGCAGUAGGGAAUCUUCCGCAAUGGGCGAAAGCCUGACGGAGCAACGCCGCGUGAGUGAUGAAGGUCUUCGGAUCGUAAAACUCUGUUAUUAGGGAAGAACAAAUGUGUAAGUAACUAUGCACGUCUUGACGGUACCUAAUCAGAAAGCCACGGCUAACUACGUG